UCCCCAGUGGCGCAAUUGGUAGCGCACGGUACUUAUAAGCAGUACUUGUGAGUGAUGCCGGGGUUGUGAGUUCGAGCCUCACCUGGGGAA
rnacentral:tRNA from 1 species